AUCCUUCUCCUUCGGCUGCGCUGUCGCGGAUUUAGAACGUGGAAAGGGAGUCGCGAGCUAGAUCCCUUCCCGUUUUGCUGCUGACUUAGUGAUAUACCAGCUACGGGUAGUUGUAGUUUUUGGUUCUUGUACAUACUGAUGUUAGAUCCUCGCUGGGGCGAGUGCUUUUGUACCAGAAUGUUAUAUAUGUAUAGUGAACUAGUUUUAUCAUUAUACUAUUCUUUUUAGCAGCUCUACACUACUAUUCGUAGUGUUGUAUGAUUACAGGUACAGCUAUCGCUUCGUAUACAAGAAAAAUUUCUUUGUAUACGGCGGGUUUGUUGACGUGCCCGGGGGAAUGGGUAAUCCAGGGCGUGACAUAAAUUGUGAAUUAAAUUUAUUUUUUGAUUUUUGAUAUCAGAUCUAUCUGCCUAUUUUAUAUUAAAAUUUAAAUUUAAUAUGUAGAUAGUUUCUAAUAAAAUAUUACAUAUAAAUUUAUAAAAUAUUUUAUUCUAGAUUUUUGAAUAAAUAUGAUUUACAAAUUUUUUAUUGAUUUAAAAUAAAUUAAAAUAAUUAUUACGUGUAUUUGCAUGUACGCUCAACUAGUAUAUAUAAAAGUACGUAUUUUAAAUUUUGGUCUGUUGACAGACCCAUUUUUUGGCGGAAAAAAAAAUUUAAUUCCUCUUUUUUAUGUAAAAUAAAUAACGUAAUAAACAAACUUUUAGUUUAUUUUUAUUUUCGAAAUAGAAACAAAAUAUACAUAUCCAAAUUUUUGCUAACCGAAAGAUAUCUAUUAUGAAUUAAUAUUAUAUACAAAUUUAUAAUCAAUUUUUAAAAAAUUACCUCAAAUAAGAACGAACGAUUAUGAUCAAUUUGUUAAAAAAAUAUUCAUACUUAUCGAUAAAUUCAAUUCUACGAACUGUUAUGAUCAAUUGGUUAAAAAUAUUUAAAAUAAAAAUCAACGGUUAUGAUCAAUCUGUUCAUAUUUGAAAACAAAAUCAACGGUUAUGAUCAAUUUGUUAAGAAAAACACUUCUAUCCAUCUAUUUUACAUU
rnacentral:lncRNA from 1 species